UUAAAAUUCUGACUUUCACUGAUUUUAUUUACAUUUCAUUGAUUUCUUCAGAUCCCUGUAAAUCAGCCCUUCAUUUCUCAGUGGAAGGAGAGGUCCUGCUGGAGUGGAAGAAGAAUAAUACAGCUACAGUGCUGCAGACAUGGUAUAUGAUGCAUAGCAUAAGGAUCAUCCCCAGAGGAUUUGUCUGUAAAGUCAUUGAAGACAUGCAACCUUCUGUACGGAUCUUAUUUCCCAAACUGUUACUUUGGACAUAAACAUGGACAGUAACUCUCAAAAUCCCUCCCUUUUCAGCACAUUGGAAGAAUUUGAAGUUUGAAUAUCUUAUUUGUGAUCUGACUUUUGUACUGGAAAACUCAAUAGCAAGGUUAGUCUCAUUCAUAUUUGUGUAAUUAAUAUCAGAACAGAGUUCAAAGCUUCUGCUUCUGGUUGUAGUGCUUUGGUUUCUCAUUAAUCAGAAC
rnacentral:lncRNA from 1 species